AGAGAAGGGUUUCAGGAGGCAGUCUGGCAGGCAACCAAGCCACCCAAGAGAGCCAGAAUGAGCUCUCCAUUGGGGGCUCCAAUGGAUAUAUGGACCCAGGCUGCAGGUGUACUGUGUGCAGCAUGGGUAGGUUGGCUGAGCCCCUGCCCCAGCGUGGCACCCCCUGUGACACAUGACCCAUCAGGUGUCUAGCAGCUUGGGGAGCGCAAGCCAGCACCUACCUCACCAGCUCUGUAGCCCUAGGCCCAGCCAUAAGGCAUGGGUCACCAUGACACCACCAGAUGGUAGCAGUGCAAGCUCCUUCCCAAGGCGGGGCCCUGUCUGGGUGCCUGCAUGCUGCACUCUGCCAUCUGAGGACACCACCCAGAGCUGCAUGCUGUUGCCACCAGCCAGGACCAAGUGCAGCCAUCAGCCAUGCCAUCCCCAGCCACAUGGUCCUGCAUCUGCACACAGGGGAGAGACCACACUUGG